AAAAUGUUUAAAGAAUUAUGUAAGAAUAUUAUGGUUAUGAGAAGUUGGUAAAAAUAAGAUUACGUUUUAGGUUUUAAGGUUUUUUAUAGUAAGAUAAGAUUAAAAUAGAUUAAGGUAAUGUAACGACAGAAUAUUAUGAAACAUGGAAAGGAUUUGCUGCAACAAUUAACAAUUAGGAUACAAAAAAAGGGAGGAGGAGGAGGUCAAAGAAAGAAGGUAAUGACAGUUAAGGAUUUGAGAAUAAUGGAUUUGUUUUUAAAUGUUUGUGGUAUAUUUUUGUCUUUUGAUCGUGUUGUGCUAUUUUUUGAUUUUGAUUUUGAUUAAUUUGUAUUGUUUGAUGUGGUUUGUUUUUUCUUUCUCUUUUUCUACUUUGUUUUUUUUUUGUAAUUCUAAUUUUUUUUCCCAAUAACUAUCAUUUAAAAAAAUAAUAAUAAAUGGAUUGCCAGGCAGUUGGAUACCUGCUUCUGCAUCACCUCUCAGACCUGCAAUUUGGUAGCUUCAAUUUGGGUGACAGUCGGCUUCACUUUAAUUACAAUGAUCGCUCAAUCUGGAACAAAGCUAUUUAAAAUGCGGCAGAGGCUCAGCGUUUACAGCCCCCGUUUUCAUUCCAAGUUGUGAUGUAUCCUGUGAGUAAGCAGGACUAGGGCCAAAGCGAUGCCUGCUCGCCUCGGAUGUGGGUUUUUAAUUUUUUUAAAAAAAUCCUUUUCACAAAAGCUUUGAUUUCCCGAUGUAAGCCUAGGUGUUGUUUUUGUCAGAGGCGCUCACAGGCCAGGCCUCCCACUGUGGCAUUGUUGUUCUUCUCCCUCAGAAAGCCUCUGCAAGGCCAAAUGUGUUUUUGUUCUCAUUCAAGUCACAAAGAUAUUGAUAAUAAAAGCAAAUAUCCCUCACCAGGUGCCCUUCAGAAGCUUUGGACUCCAAGUCCCAUCAGCCCCAGUCAAGUAUGGCCUGUGGGAUGAUGGGAGUUGUAGUCUGGGAACCUGAUGCCCUCCAGAUGUUUGAAACUACAACUGGUCCACAGACAGGGCUGGCCCAAGGCAUUUUGGAACCUGAGGCGAAAUAAGAAAAUGGCACCAGGCCUCCACCAAAGAAGAACAUACACUCCAACACUUUCCCAAUGAAAAUAGGGACACCCUAUUCCAUACCCUCCAACAUUUCUUCAAUGAAAAUAGAGGUGUGUCCCCCCAACAUUUCUCUGAUCAGUGCUUUUUCUGGGGGGACGUAAGCAUUUUGUGAAUCUAACGGGAGAAGCAACUAUUAUUAUUUUUUAAAAGUUUCUUCUCUAGCACAGUGAAUCAUCAGUUCCGUUGAAUAGCGUGGUGAAUCGUCAGUCCUGUUGCUGCCCCCGAUGGCGGUCUCAUUUCCUGUCACAGUGUUUCCUGAGUCUCAGAUGGAAGCGAGCAUUUAAUGUGUGAAGUAGGAAUUAGAAUCUAGCACAGUGAUUGGUCAGUUUCAUUGUUACCAUCUCUGAUGGCGGCUUCAUUUCCUUCAUUUCCCGGUGUUUCCUGAGUCUCAGAUGGAAGUGAGUGUUUAAUGUGCGGAGCAGUGUGCAAUGUGGAGGUAACUUAUUUAUUUAUUAUUAUUUAUUUAUUACAUUUCUAUACCGCUUUAUAUUUUUAAGAAAAAUCUCAAAGCGGUUUACAACUUAUUAAAACAUCAAUAAAGCAAUCUUGAAUCAAAGAAGAAAGUCAAAUAUAGGGUAUACAGUCAAAGUGAUAUAAUUAACAGAAAACUAAAAUAUUAACCUAAAUUUCAAAAUAAAACAUUACAAAGGAGGUCAGCUACAGAAUGCAUACUUAACACAAACAAAGUUAGCAACAACAAACAUCUUAAACAAUUUUUUAAAAAAACAUUGCUAAGUGAAGUCAAACUAUAAAAUGCACAUUUAAAACAGCAUAAUUAACAAGAGAAUAAAAUAUUAUCAUGACACGGCUGUUUGACAGGCACAAAAAGAUGGGGCAAAAGAAUCCAAUAAUUAGGAUUUGUUGUCAUGCAUAGCAAUGUCCUUCUGGUCUCACCAGAAGCCUCUUUUGUAGCAUGUUCUUUAUACUUUGGUCCAUUUACUGUAUUUAUUUCCCCCGAUUUGAACUAUAAAAUGGUGAUUUUCUUGAGUCAAAAUGAGAGUACCCCUAAACCUUUUUUAAAAAAAUUAAAAAGUACUGUCUCUGAUGAAGAAAGGAACAUCUGUUUGUGGGCUUCCCCUAGGCAUCUGUGAGGACUGGAAGUUGGACUUAGACGGGCCUUUGAGCUUACCUGACGGGUCUCUUUCUUAUGUGCAAGUGAUUCAGCAAGGACAGGAACCAGAAAAUAGGGACUGCACUUGAUAAUGAGCGAUGGUUAGAACAUAUGGGGAAAUAACAUCAUAAAAAAUCUGGAUGAUGGUUUCGAUUUUAAAAAUCUGCUUUUGUGUCUCUGUGCCGGGUCAAGUACCUAUCUCCACAGGAGUCAACUGCUGCCGAAUAACACCCAGUCUCUUUUCUUUUGCUCUGACACAUCAUUCUAAUUUGCUCCUCUGUGGUGAUACUCAGUCAUAACCACCCACAACCACUUGUGCGUACCCAGUCCUACUCACACAGCUCUCGCCCCUGCCUGGUCACACUGAAUCAUCCUUCCUGAAUACCCAUCCAUGCAGCUGUUUGCCGCUUCACAACUGCUAACUUUUCUACCAAUGCCCUAUGGAUUUGGAGCGAUGAAAAUGCCCACUCUUCUCCUCGUCUCUGUAAGCUGCUAAAACCAAGUUGCCGCUGUUAAAAAAACCAGGCCUUUCCCCUUUACCUUGAACAGAAAUUCGGAAGGUCUUGUUUUCUUCCUGCCCAUAGAUGCCACUUUCUUGGUGAAAUUUUGCUCCUGGAGGGGGUACCAGACAAUUGCUCAGGGAUUCUAACAGAGCUACAUAUCCAUGUCAGCAAAAGUCUGAGACUAUGGGCUAGCAGUAGUUAUCUCCAUCAAUCCUGUCACAGAGGGGAUUAUUAUUAUUAUUAUUAUUGUUAUUAUUAUUAUUAUUAUUAUUGGUGAAUCUAUUUUGAGUCCUGGUUUCUCAGUGCUAAAUUUCAUUUGCUACUUUUCUGCAUUGGUUUUGUUUUUAACUAAAAAAAGAAAGACUUCACAAAAAUUGUCAACACUUUAGUGCAGAUAUUCUCCUGAUGUGAAUAUUUCUGUACGCAAUUGUGCCUCACAUACACAUCUUGGCAAGCAACAUCUCCCUAACAGAAUGCAAUUUUUUAGAAUGCACUCAUGUUCAGCACACUUUCCUAAAUGUAUGCAUUUUAUGAACACAUAUUUUUUAUUAUUAGAGAAUUGCAUCGCAAAACUCAGAGAAGUGUGGCUUGGGAAGGAUGUGAACUGAACAGAAUUUCAUCCCACCCCUAGUUUAAAGAGCAAAACUGACCUUUAUUUGAGUUCCAUUUUGGGGCCCUAUUCUCAUCAUCCAGUGUUUCCAAAUGCUGUGAAUCUUCAUAUAUAUAAACAUCGGUUUCCUCAGCUUUUACACAACACUGUCAUUGUCCUUUUAACUGCUAUUGGCUUAACUACUCUGAUGUCACAGAGAUAUUCAGGCUGACUAGCUGAACAGUAAAGGAAACCUGAGAGACUUUAGAAUUAAAAUUCUAAGACCAACGAGCAGCUUUUGUUAAACCAUGCAAGUAUUCCUUCACACCACUGACUUUUGAACAAAUCUUUGCUGGUGCAGAUCUAUUUCAAUAUGGACAGUGCUGCUGCAUACUUAGUUUGAAGAUGAACCAAUUGUUUUACUACCACAAAACUGCUUUUAGCGCUCUUAGUUUAGGCCAACGAUGGGGUAUCUGUUGUUGGACUACAGCUCCCAUCAUCCCUGACCAUAGGGUCAUAUUAUGUGGGCUGCUGGGAGUUGAUGUCAGGGGCUGGCUGGCUGAGGAGGAGUGGUGGAAGCUGCCUGACCAAGAGUCCCCCAGGGGAAGCACAGAGGGAGAGGAAUUGGAUCCUGGCGGUGGGAAACCGGCCACAGCCCAAAGGAGGGGAUGAUCUGGGAACUACUGGAGGCAGGGAGCUUGAAGGAUGAUGAAGAGAAGGAAACAGGCAAGUGCCCCAGCACAGGGCAGGGACAGGAAUCAGACUUGGCAGCUCUACGGCAGAGCCACUCUGACAGCUUCUCUGCUGACAGCCUGCAAGGCAGCCCCCUCCCAGAACAAUGCAUCUACCUGAUGGUACCUCUGGUUGCGAACGGGAUCCAUUCCGGAGGCCCAUUUGCAGCCUGAAAAGAACGUAACCCACGCCUGUGCAUCUGCACACACGUGGGUCGCCAUUCGCAGCUUCUGCGCAUGCGUGUGACUUCAUUUUGUGCGUCUGCGCAUGCGCGAGCGGCGAAACCCGGAAGUAACCCGUUCCAUUACUUCCGGGUUGCUGCGGGAUGCAACCUGAAAACGCGCAACCUGAAGCAAACGUAAUAUGAGCUAUGACUGUAUUGGACGUCACUGAUCAGACAGCCAAGCGGACACAGAGAGGGUCCCUUGGGACUCGCCGUAGACAGAGAGAUGGGUCUGACACAGAGGGCUAGGGAGGGAAGUGGGCAGUCUGGGCAACUGCUUCAUCAAGACAGGAGCAACACUUAGAAGUCUCCAUGUGUUCUUUGUUCUGCUUCCUUCAUAAAGAAACUAGCUGCAAGUUAGCCAAGCGGUUUCACUGUCUUUCUCUGGUCUGUGAACAACCUGCUCUCCUUGUCAGCUCCCUGACAGUUGCAGUGCAGUAACAGCUCCCCAUCCCCUCAGUGAUACCCAAGGAGCCAUUUCAAAACUUGAAUGCAGGCAAAGACCUACAUAGAUGCAAAUUAGCAAGGAACAAGAUUUUUCUCUGAGAAGCACCACCACCAUGGUUCAAUGAUCCAAUGGCCAACGUGGACUGCUAGAGUCAUUCCAGUACCCAGGGUUUGCUGGCUUUGCUGGUCUGUGCAAUGCUAUGAAUGCAAAAUGACGAUCUACAACUGCCUGUGGCAAUAAGAUGCAUUUUAAUAUCCAGCUUAAUUUUAAGUUUUUCAGUUGGGGAGGAGAAAAAAGGGGCUCCCAGUUUGAUGAAUUUCAUUUGGUUUUAUAUUAUGCAUGGCUUCUUUCAGUAGCUCUAGUUUUUUUUGCAAGUGGUGCUUUUGUAAGCUUUUUAAAAAUAAAUUCAGAAAGAGAUUCUAUUAUCACGCCAUGAUUCAUACUCCUUAAAGGCCUCCAAGCCACUCCUUUACCUGCAAGGCCCCUUCUAGGCAGAUAGCCAGAUCAGCUACUCUGCUCCCCACACACAGUAUAGCCAAAAAUAGGACCGACAAGCAGCUGCACAGAUUUUUCUCAAAGCAGCAUGCCAAUGACGAACCAUCUCGGCUUCACAAUCAGGAGCUGUUGUUUAAUCAGAGCCAUAUUUAUUAAAGUAAACAUGUAAAUAAUCAGAAGCAUUUCAUUCAAUCAUAAGGAUUUGUGGCAUUCAUUAAGCUGUGCACUCAUCAGCCUGGAAAUGGUAUAGGCUGGGGUUCACCUCUCACAAGGAAAGCGACUGUUCAGAAAAUAGAAUUUAGUCAGGUAUUCGAUCUGUGUCCUCCUCCUCUGAGUAGUAAUAAGGACUAGUGGCUUGGUUUGGAGAUUUAGCGGCCUUGCCAAAUAAAAACAACUCUGUUCCCGAUCCCUAACCCUCCAGCUCCCCCGAGGGAUUAUCGUAAUCUUUCUUAGUAUAUUAAGCAAAAUGACAAAUGCAUUAAGGUGCGGGGGUGAGAUGAGCCUGUUAGAAUUCCCUAUCAGGCUAACGAGGAAGCCAGAUGUGAAAGCCUUUGGCCCUUUCAUUACACACCUUUAGGUGCCAGGCAAAAACGUUCCUUUUUAACCAGGUCUUUGGUUGAUCUGAUUGACAUCCUAUGCCCUUUUAAAAUGUGUUUUUAUUGGCGGGGGCUAUUGGGUUAUUGUUUUUAUUUUUAUUAUGCAUUUUGUGGUUUUAUAUCUUUUAUAUCUUGAUUUUAAUCUGUGAACCGCCCUGAGACCUCCGGGUAUAGGCAGGUGUUAUGUACUGAAGUUCUCACCCUGGGCCAGCAGGGGGAUACUGUAGACAGUUUUCACUCAGGUCCACGUCAGUUAUUUUAGGCGGGAAACCCUGGGUUGUUGUUGCUACAAUGUUGACAGCCGGCUGCCUAUAAAAGCAGGCCGGCUGAGCUGUUUGCUGUUCAGUUCUGUUCCAGCUUACAAAAUAAAGAGCUGCUUUGGAGAAAUCGCUGUGUCGUCUGCCAUGUCUACCCACUAUUCAACAGCAGGUAUAUAAAUUCAAUAAAUAAUAAAAAUGUUGAUGAUGUGCAUGAGCCACACGUUGCACGUGUGACGUUGCGUGUGUGUAACGUUGGGCCCCCUCAAUAUUGGGUACAAGACGGUGCCACUGCCUGCCACUCAUUUUUACUCACUCAAUCUUUUCUGGACUCAGCAAAUGAGUCGGGUGACUGACUUAGACAGUCCCAAGGGAGCGGGGUCCGAGUCAUCACUCCAGGAUAUAAAGAGAAGCAGUAGAAAUCCUACUUACAUUUUGAACAUGCUGGAAGUUUCUCCUGGAUGACCGCUUUGCAGUAUCUAAAUCGACCUAGAAUGCCCACUUAACCUUCACCCCAACCCCUAAUCCUACCUCUACCCCCAAUCCUAAAUCUCUGUCUAAAACAACCGUACACAAAAUAUACACACAAGGUAUAUAAAAAGAAAAGUGUACACAAAAUAAAUGAAGGUUUGCAUUGGGAAAAAACAAAAAAUAAAAGAAAGACUAAAAUAAAUACAGAAGCAGUAAAUAAAGACUAAAAUAAAGAAUAAAAUAAAUACAGAAGUGAAAAAAGAAGAAGUAAAAAGUAGACAAAAAUAGAACUCUCUAAUCUCUCCUCCUCUCCAUCACCUCCUGACUCCCUCUGGCUAACCCACACUGGAUAUCUGUGGUUGGUGGUUUUUAAGCCAGAAGCAAGAGAUGUCACAAAGGAAGGUGGGAUGCUGUUACCUUGGCAACCCACCUACCUUGACACUGGGGCAGUAUUGCUCCUCCUGAGUCGUGAUUAUUCUUCAGGACUUUGAGGCAUCUGCUCAGAGGGGAAUCUCCUCCUUCCUCUCCUGUCAAGAGGUUUCUUCCUGUGCCUGCCUGUCUCCUCAUCAGGUCCAUUCUUUCGCUGCUUUAUUUCCCCAGCAAAAUCUUAAUUGCUGCCGGAUUGAUUCUUGCACUAGGGGGAAUACCAUUUAUUUUGAAAUUAUAAUUAGAUAUCUAGUCCUCUUAGGGUCUGCAGGUAAGCAGUCUUUCAAAAAGCCUCUGAAAGUUGGAAGCUAAGUAUAGCUAGGCUUUGCAAGUCGUGAAAAGGCAAAUGUCCUCAGAGAUUCCUCGCGACUUUAAUUAGGCAUGACCUUAGCCAGCUAGAAAAGGAUGCUACUCAGUCUAAGCUAGAAUAUUAUUUGGGUGGCUUCAGGGAGGUUCGGGAGUUUGCAUUUUGGCAUUCUUCAUGUGUUUCAAGAAUUUCAGGAAAUGUAUUAUUAGUAGUAAUAGAGUUCUUCUUCCUCAGAUGACAGCAGUCAACUUAUGAGCAUUCUCAGAGCUAACCUCUGAAAUAUGGCGAUGAUGAUGAUGAUGAUGAUGUCACCUUUCACAAACACACAAGAACAUAGCUUCCAACAUUUCUCUGAUGAACAUAGGGACAUGUCAAGACCCCGUGACCACACAGUUCCCUUGGGAGUGAAUAACCAGACAAGACAACGGCAUGUAGAUUUAUAGGUUCAAAUAGGCCACAACUUUAAUGGCUACAGAUAUGAAUGGUUUGGCACAGACACUGGGUGAAGCCAAAUUAUUCCACUCUACUAAAUCCAAUAAGUGUUGGAAAGAGUAAGAAGGUUCCUUUUAUCAUACGUGGUGGUCUUGCAGUAAGGUUAAGGCUUACUGGGAAAUGAUGUACAAUGAAAUGAAAAAGAUGUUCAAAAUAACAUUUGUAAAAAACCCCAGAAGCCUUUCUCUUGGGAAUUAUAGGGAAAGAACCACCUAAAUUGUAUAGAAACUUAUCCAUGUAUGCUACUACAGUGGCAAUAAUGUUAUUUGCCCAAAAAUGGAAAGAAGAAGAAGUCUCAGCAAAGGAAGAAUGGAUACAAUGGAAUAUGCAGAAAUGGUGAAACUUACUGGAAGAAUAAGAAAUCAAGAUAAUAAACUUUUUAUAAAAGAGUGGAAAUGGUUUAUUGAAUAUGUGCAGAUAAAUUGUAAACAGAUAAAAACACUGGGAGGAUUAUUGUAAUAACCUGCAAUUACAUAAGAGUAUAUAUUUAAAGAAGAUAAAUAAAUGAGUAAGUUAAGUGAAUUUGGAUAUGCAGAAGAUAUUAAAAAUAAAUUUAAGGAAGCUCAGAAAGAGGGGGAAGUCAAGUUUUAAAAUGUCAAAAUUGUGGUAAAAUCAGUGAAAUGUAUAUAUCUUAAAAGUAUAAAUAAAAAAUAUUUUAAAAAACACAAACACGCAAAUUAUUCCACUCCAGCCCAUCUGCCGACAGUGCAUCUAAGGGUAAACUACAG